rnacentral:misc_RNA from 1 species
CCAAUAGCGUAUAUUAAAGUUGUUGCAGUUAAAAAGCUCGUAGUUGAAUUUCGGGAUUGACGUGACGGUCAUGCCUUAAGGGGUAUGAACUGUUGCUGUUGAUUUCUCACCUUCUGGAGAAACUUGAUGUCCUUUAUUGGGUGUCUUGCGGAUCCAGGACCUUUACCUUGAAAAAAUUAGAGUGUUUAAAGCAGGCAUUUUUGCUCGAAUACAUUAGCAUGGAAUAUUAGAAUAGGACGGCAUGGUUCUAUUUUGUUGGUUUCUAGGAUCACCGUAAUGAUUAAUAGGGAUAGUUGGGGGCAUUAGUAUUCAAUUGUCAGAGGUGAAAUUCUUGGAUUUAUUGAAGACUAACUACUGCGAAAGCAUUUGCCAAGGAUGUUUUCAUUAAUCAAGAACGAAAGUUAGGGGAUCGAAGACGAUCAGAUACCGUCGUAGUCUUAACCAUAAACUAUGCCGACUAGGAAUCAGACGAUGUUAAUUUUUUAAUGACUCGUUUGGCACCUUACG